CAGGAUGUUUAACAAACUUAAAGAAAUCCUCACAUAUAGCAAAUAGAUUUUCCACAUGCCCUGUGCUUGGAAUAUCCACCCAGUAAUGAGUUUAAUCAGAAUUUCUUCUAUAUAUUAUACUGAGAUGGAUCUAUUUUGUUGACAUGUCCAGCAUAUAAUUAUAUUUUAAGUCAAAAAUAAUAAUCUCAUUUCUGUAUGAUCAGUUGAUAUAGCCAAGUUAUAUUAGGAUCUGAGUCUUACAGUCAAGAAAUUUAUGAGAGUUCAUCUCCAGUGUGGUAAAAGGCAGGCUUCCAAUUCCGAGCUGUGUACGUAAGUCUUUGAGGGACAUGGUUUUACUACAAUAAAGGUCCAUUUUCAGUGGUGAGGUAGAAGCUUAUAGGAUACUUGCUCUUAAUUUAUAUUCUGACCAAGAUUUCUCAGUGGGGAACCAGUGGGUGCUUCAAGACUGUCAGUAUUUUUCAGGUGGGAUUCAACCACAACCUGGCAAAUUGAGGCUGUGUAAUUAAAGUCGAUCUGCAGUUCUUGCAAAACAAACGCGUUUCCCCAAAAGAGAAGAUUUAUUAUUAUUAUUAUUAUUAUUAUUAUUAUUAUUAUUAUUAUUUUGCAAUAAGCGGUGGAAAAACACACUGGAAAGUGUGGCAUAUUGCUUAACGCAACACCAUCCUAUCUCCCUGUAAACAAAUCAGGAUGAAUGCUAAUUAAAUUGCCAUAGUUUUCUAAUCUUGCUGCAAAUUCGGCCGAAUGCUCAUUAAAUAGGUCAUCUGGAAAUGACCCAAAUCUCUUAAAGUAUUGCUUUAAUAAAAGAAGGGUGUGCUAACACCUGCUCAAUUGCCCUUUACCUAGAUCUUUAUGGAAAUUUCAUGCACUUCUUAAGUACCUUAGCGCAAAGUCAAAAGCACAGGAAGAAAUGUCUCCAAAAGACACUAAAUCACAUUUGGUUAUUCCUGCACAAACCAUGCCACUAAAAAAGUUAUUAGAUCUGCAAUGUCGGUCAAAAUGGACUAUUAUGAAUUAUAUUAACUACUGCUGCUACUACUACUACAUAGAUUCAUAUAGCUGCCCAGUAAAUUCCAAAAAUGAUAUACAAUAAGAAUGAAAAACAACAACAAUAAGCAAUAAAUGACAGCAAAAUACUUCAUUGCAUAAAGGCUGCACAUUUACAGUUUGGGUUAAAAACAGUUUUAAAAGUCUGGGUAAUUUUUUUUUAAUUCCCUAGCAUUAAAAAAAAAGUGCAUAAAAAUGGAACUAGAUGGAAAAGUUGCUCCAGUCAAGGGGCCACUGCUAAAAAGGCCUUUGCUGUGGCACCCAGAGCAGGGCCUCUAAAGAGGAUCUUAAACUUCAGGUAACUGAUCCCAGAUCUUACAUGCAGGCAGGGGUGCCAACCUAAAUAAAAUAUUGGGGAGGCAGGUAAGGCCCGCCCCACAUAAUCACAUGAUGCGGUGCAUUCACACCAUUUGAAUGGCAAUGCCCAUCAACACUGGGGGGCCCAGCACCUUCAAAUAUUUAAUGGGGGGGGAGCUGUAGACCCCUCGGCCCCUAGGAGUUGGCUCCUAUGUAUGCAGGUACCAAACUCCACCAUACUGUGGGGGAUCAGGAUGCCAUGUUGAAGAGGGAACCAGAGAUGCUGUGACUCAGAUAAGUCAUGCAUCUGAACUCAGGAUAAUUGUUCACUUGGAUAUGGGAGUUGUUUGUAGGGUCAGGGUUUGCCAACUCUCCAUAUCCAGGGAGCUGAGUUGCAAGCUUGAGGUUGAGCCUUUUCUCCAGGCUGUUCUUUAUUUCUUUAAUUACGCUAAUGGCAAAUUGGGAAGGGGCCUGCUCUUGCACUCAGGAUUCUCUGCCAAAGCAUUUCCCCAAUGCAUCAAUUAAAUUUGCACUUAAGUGAAUUUCAACAGGGCCCUGAGCAAGGUUUGCGGAAUGGAGCCCUUGGUAAUGCUCAAUGCUAAUGAGGUAUUUACCUCAGAGUUACAAGCCAUUAUUACCCUGCUUCCCUGAGUGAUCAGGAGGGCUUCAGUCAUUUUGUAGGGUGACCUGUUCCAAUAUAAAGAAGAGGGUGGGAUGUGCUACCAAAUAAAAUUUUAACUCAUGGGUCACCAAGACCCAUUCUUCAAAGUAUCUUAGUUUGUGGCUGAUGACAAAUAUAAGAUGCCAUCUGCAGGGUUUUGUUUUUUUCCUGUGCAGAGGAGAUUUUUUUUAAAAAGCCUUGCUGAUCAGCAUAUUCAGAGCCUGUGCUUGCGGUUGUGACCUAAGGAUGUCUCUGGGCCUGGGAUGUUAUUGGCCGCGCUUCUGAGAGAACAGGGGAAGCAGGGAGGGUUCCCAAGGGACUUAGUCAUACUCCUGAAAAUAGGCACCACUGUGGUCUUCCCUUUGGAUACUCUUGUGGUUUCUCGUAUGUUUAUUUUCCUGGGAUUACCUCAACAGUGGCAAUACUUCAGUAUAAAAAUAGGCUAAACUUUUUUCUUUCUUUUUUCAUCCAGCUGAAUCUAGCCAAAUUCACUAGUAUCAAAGAUGCCCUAGGAGAGCACUUGCUUAAAUUUGUGAAUGCAUGUCAGCCCUUCGUAGGUGCCUAUUUAAUUUUGCAAUGCGAGCUGAUGCCUUCUUCGGUUUUACUAUAAAAAUAAAAAUCCCUUUCACUCUAAAGCCUCAUCUGCACUAUACAAUUAAAGUUGUGACAGGCCACUUUAGUAGCCGUGGCUCCCUCCAAAGAAUCCUGGGAGCCGUAGUUCGUUAAGGGUGCUGCGAGUUGUUAGGAAACCGCUAUAGCCCUGCUAUAGCCUUCACAGAGCUACUCUCAAAGUAAUCACACACAUCCUCUUCCCAGGGAGUUCUGAGGGCCAGAAAGCCACACACACCCCGGAAGGCCACAUUCAGUCUGUGGGUCAGCGGUUCCCUGAUUUACCACACUAUUUGUUUUCUUAUUCUGUGCAUAAGAAUGAAUAUCAGGUCAUUUUACUUUCAAGAGAGAAACUCUAACAGAUAGCGUCAACGUGGCAUGCAAAUACAGGAGUUCACAGUGUUCUUUUUCAAUGAAAAGCAGCCUGGGAGGCUGAAACACAGGGUUCCUCUGGGGUAUUUACAAGGAGAAACCUGCAUCUGAAAUAGCUUUCCCCAACUUUGCGCUGGCUGGGGUUGAUGAGGGUUGUGGUUCAAAUUAUCUGGAGGGCUCUAGAUUGACUGAUCUAGAACCCUGGAGUGGGAGCAAACUUGGGAGUGAUUUUAAGCAGAAAAAAUAACCAGCAGAGGAAAUGUUUAAAAAGACUCUCACCUGCUACAGCCUCCCAAGGCUGCUAUUCAUUGAAAAAGAACAUAAUCUGGGCUUCAUCACUUGCAUGUAAUUACUCGUUCGACUCUCAACUUUCUUUCAUGUUUAUUAUGAAGUUUU
rnacentral:lncRNA from 1 species